CUUUGGCUUCUGGCUGGUUUGUUCCAGCCCUGCUCCUGCCUUGGACUCCGCCUGGCCUCACUUGCAGAUACAGAUAUUACCCUACUCCACAGUGGGUCUGAUAACACGGUAGUUCACGGAGGAGUCCUGGAGAGACACCUCUUCAAUUUCCAAGAGAUUGCAUUUUACUUGCCAAAUAUCACAAAAGUGGAGGUUCUGAAGUAUGUAUACAUCUGCUUCACAAUGAAAAUGGCUCUCACCUGACAGCAGGAGAAUACGGUGGAGAUGUAGAACCAAGCAGGGCAUUUUGUAACUUCACCAAUUACUUACAAAGGAUUUCUGCUUGCUGCUUCUCAUGUAACAGUUGGUAUUAUAAAUAUGGAACCUGCUUUUUCUGUGACCUGUGUGUGGCCUUCCUGUCACCUCCUGGGACUACAGUAACUGAAUAAACCAAGAAAAUACUAUGGGAUGUGUUGCUGUGGAGCGCCCUCUAGUAGAAAAGCGGAGGGGGAGCAGGAAAAGCAUUCUUAGCCCACUCAUGGGGAGAAAUAGCUUAUUUUCUGGUGGCAUGUCUCAUGGAUGGCGUCUUCCCAGAGAAGCAGUGCAUGCAGCCUAUAGAUGUUUCAUGAAAGUCAUUUCAGAGUUAAGGGGCUUGGAUGAAAUUGAUAAUGUAGCACUUCUU